AGUGAACGCUGGCGGUAGGCCUAACACAUGCAAGUCGAACGGCAGCACAGUAAGAGCUUGCCCUUACGGGUGGCGAGUGGCGGACGGGUGAGGAAUACAUCGGAAUCUACUUUUUCGUGGGGGAUAACGUAGGGAAACUUACGCUAAUACCGCAUACGACCUACGGGUGAAAGCAGGGGAUCUUCGGACCUUGCGCGAUUGAAUGAGCCGAUGUCGGAUUAGCUAGUUGGCGGGGUAAAGGCCCACCAAGGCGACGAUCCGUAGCUGGUCUGAGAGGAUGAUCAGCCACACUGGAACUGAGACACGGUCCAGGCUCCUACGGGAGGCAGCAGUGGGGAAUAUUGGACAAUGGGCGCAAGCCUGAUCCAGCCAUACCGCGUGGGUGAAGAAGGCCUUCGGGUUGUAAAGCCCUUUUGUUGGGAAAGAAAAGCAGCAGGUUAAUACCCCGCUGUUCUGACGGUACCCAAAGAAUAAGCACCGGCUAACUUCGUG
rnacentral:rRNA from 1 species